AAAUGACUUUCAUAUAAGGAUGUAAAUCUGAGGGUUGAUUUGCAAUAAUUAAUGGGGAGGGUUGUGUAAGACUGCAAGUCCCUUCCCACAGUUGCCCCAUUUUUUAACAACAGAGUUUCUACGCUGUUACACGUACAGUUUGAAACUGCAGCCAAUCGGAGUGGUGGUUUCUUCCUCAAAGAUUUAAUUUUAAAUUAACCAAUCAUACUGUAGCAUUCUUUUGCCAUUUUAAGCGCCAAAGCAAUCUUUGCUAUAAAAUCUUGGAAGCUUCAACCAAUCACGGGGCGCAGUGCAUCUAAAACUUCAUCGUGAUGUAAGUUAAGCAACUUCACAGCGUGGUCCUGUUCUCGUGCGGCCAUCGACAUUGCAGAAUGCGACCGAAGAAGUGCGGCAGAGUCGGAACUCGAGGACGACGUACAGAACCAGCCGCAGGAUGCUCUGCAUAAGUACCAUGUUGUUUAGUAGAUAAGUAUUGCAAAGAGCGCGUUUCCUGACAUUUAGGCGGCCGACUGCAGCCAUUGUGUAUGAGGUCACAUGGGUCCCUCUGCAAUCAACAGCCAUCCAUCACCUGUAGCAAGGCCCCAUACAGUGCCAGAAUGUGGGCUCCAUACCAGACAUACGCUGAACACGGUCUUCUAUCAAUUGGAGUUGCGUGAAAUCAAAAUGUGUUAAAUGAAUCAUCAACUGCGAAUCCAAGGGACGAUCCUAUAUGAUAAAGAGGAUUAUAAUGGCAAUUCGGUUUGGGGGAAAAAAAGGAUUAGUUUUCUUUCAAGAGGAAAAAAUGUGGCUGUCAGCCGCCGGAUUGUUCCGUGCCGGAACCCGGGAUUGAACCGGGGGCCUUUAGAUCUUCAGUCUAACGCUCUCCCAACUGAGCUAUUCCGGCUGACAAGUGUUUAUAGGACUAAUGUCAGUCAUGUGGUUGUAUUUGUACUAAUUAUUCACCCGGAAACCGGAUAUAAGAGGUCAAAAUGCCCCACCCCACAACUAUAGACAUAUCGUUAGUAAUUUGCCAUGUUUACAUGUGUAUUAUCUGAAAUAUCACUAUUGCAUUGUAUACAUCAUUUACACGUGUCUUGUCUUACAUGCAUCAAUAUCUGGCUUGUUUGUGUUACACUAAGUUAUGCAUGAUCGAUUUAUCGAUAUAAGUUGUAGAGAGAGUCUGAGAGAGUUUGAACAAGACUAAAAGCAUGUUAAUCAGUAAAUAUGUAUCGUUAGUUUAAAUUGUGUAAUUUUGUGUGUGUGUUGAGUGUGUGUGUCAUGUUACAUAUGUUCAAGCGAGAGAUAAAGAUCAUAUCCGCUGUACUGAGUGUGUGUGUUUUGGGGCCUGUUUCACGUGUAUCUGUUUAUUGCUGCGACAACCCUAUGAAAUAAAGGCAUGUUAUUACUUAUGCUGAAAAUAUCACUCCUGUUUCCUAUACAUGUACUAAGAAUUUACAAACUAUAAAAUAUCUAUAGACUGUCCAUAACGAUAUGAUAUCGGGUAGACUCAAGUUUUAUGUCACAAUUUCUUCAGCUUUCUUGUAACGCUUCCAGUCAUGAUAUUUUGCAAAUAAGAGGGUUAAAUGAAAAAAAUAAAUAUAUUAAUUGCCCUUAAAAAGCCCCCAGUGAGGAUCGAACUCACGACCCCUGGUUUACAAGACCAGUGCUCUAACCACUGAGCUAUGGAGGCUCUUAAUGCGUGCUAGAAUGACAUUUUUAAAUUUAUCUUAUCCCGUACACAUGAAUUGAUUAUACAUGUACCUUUCCAGUGUCCACGUAGUAGAUUUACCUAUGCCUAAGUACAGUAGUGUAUGUCAAUUACCAAAGGCUAAUUCCUGCUAACUCGUGCAAUUUCCUUGAAAACUUGAAAAUUAUACGAGUAAAGAAAAGUAAAUUUCAAGUGAUACGUACGUCAUUUCAGAAACGUUUUGUAAAAGUACAAGUGUUUCAGAGCAAAUCAGUGUUUAAACGGUCAGACCACAAAACAAAGUUCACACGAAACCUUUUCUAAACAAUACAUAUCCAUACAUACUUCAAUUUAACAAUGUUAGAACCACCAAAAUCCGAUUAAAAAUAUAUUAUUUGUUGAAAUUCAUUUAGCUUUUUGACAAAUAUCGAUUGUAAAAUAUGCCAGAAAUUAAAAAAUAGUAUUGUGUUUUUCCAGUCAUGAUAAACCAAAGAAGGUUAGUGUAUAUCGAAUUAACUUGGAAUACCGUAUUAUCUUCAAAUAUAAUGAAUUACGAGUA